rnacentral:rRNA from 1 species
UACGUAGGGGCCUAGCGUUGUCCGGAUUUAUUGGGCGUAAAGAGCUCGUAGGCGGUUCGGUAAGUCAGGUGUGAAAUCUCCACGCUCAACGUGGAGGCGCCACCUGAAACUGCCGUGACUCGAGUCCGGUAGGGGAGUGUGGAAUUCCCGGUGUAGCGGUGAAAUGCGCAGAUAUCGGGAGGAACACCAGUGGCGAAGGCGGCAUCCUGGACCGAGAUUGACGCUGAGGCGCGAAAGCCAGGGGAGCAAACGGG